rnacentral:rRNA from 1 species
AACGAACGCUGGCGGCAUGCCUAACACAUGCAAGUCGAACGAGACCUUCGGGUCUAGUGGCGCACGGGUGCGUAACGCGUGGGAACCUGCCCUUAGGUUCGGAAUAACUCCCCGAAAGGGGUGCUAAUACCGGAUAAUGUCUUCGGACCAAAGAUUUAUCGCCUUUGGAUGGGCCCGCGUUGGAUUAGCUAGUUGGUAGGGUAAAAGCCUACCAAGGCGACGAUCCCUAGCUGGUCUGAGAGGAUGAUCAGCCACACUGGGACUGAGACACGGCCCAGACGCGUACGGGAGGGAGGAGGGGGGAAUAGUGGAGAAGGGGCGAAAGGCUGAGCCAGCAAUGGCGGGUGAGUGAUGAAGGCGGGAGGGUUGGAAAGCGGGUUUAGCCGGGAUGAGAAUGACAGGACCGGGAGAAUAAGCGCCGGCUAACUCCGUG